rnacentral:lncRNA from 1 species
ACAAUUCGGGGCGUGGUUGAAAUAUAAGUGUGCAACCCAAGAGGGGGGUGAAUUGGAAUUUAAAAAAUUAUCCUAGCAAAUCCACACAACAAGCAAUCUAAUGUCUUAAUAAAAAUUGAAAACAAUAAAUUCAAUCAUGCACAAUAUUAAAAGAGUAAGGGAAGAGAAAACAAACACAAUGAUUUUUACGUGGUUCGGCAAUCCCCGCCUACGUCCACGCCUCCAAGCUCACAGGGCUUGAGGAUUUCACUAAGCUAGCCUCUCAAGGCUUCAAACGCUUACAAUUGACUUCCAAGGUGUCAAUGGACCUUUACAACAAGAGAUUAUCCCCAAUCUCUUAACCCAAGUGUAUCCCAACACUUACAAUCUUUUAACUUGAUUUUACAAAAAAAGAUUACAAAUGAAUCUCUCUCACACAAUGUGUUUGAUCACAAGUAAAAGCUCAAUGUGUGAAUGAAUGAGAUGAAUACAAGAAUUUAAAGCUCAAUGAAAGUUGUAUUCUCAAUAUUUUGCUCAAUGAUGAUCGUUCGAAUUCAUCUUGUUUGAAUUGGAUUGAGCUUAUUUAUAGUUGGAGCUGAAAAACUAGCCGUUAUAGACUGUCUGCUCGAAAACGGUUCGCCGUUAACCAUUAACGGUUAACCGUUUAGGCUGGUCAAAGUUACCGUUGGGUCAAUUUUCAAAUAAACGGUUAGCCGUUUAGGAUUACCCUUUCGCCGUUAAUUUUCAGAGACCUGUAAAACAAAUUUGGUUUAACCGUUCUUACUAAACGGUUCAAGGUUAGCAAUCUGGAAAUAAUCGGUUAACCGUUUUCAGUAAACGGUUCACCGUUAGUUUCCAGAAUCAUCAUUUUAACAAUACUUUGCAGAACAUGCUUUCUGGAAAUUAUCGGUUAGCCGUUUUAAAUAAACGGUUAGCCGUUUGCUACAGUGAUUGCUACAGUGAAAAUAUUUUCUAAAUUUACAGUUUGACCCCAAAACUUUAUAAAACUAUAUUACGGCCCAAAACGUUAUGAAACUUUGCACAUAUGUCCAAUUUCAGAAUUUCUAAAUAAUACUUUGUUAAUCCUAAAACUUUCUGAAAUUAUGGUAUAGCCCAAAAUACUAUGACACUUUUCAAAUAAGUCCUUUACCAAGAUUUCAAGCAAUACAUGUUUAUUUCAAAGUUUUCAAAAUUCUUUCAAUUAAACCAUAAACUUUGAAAAACAACCAAUUUCAUAAAAUCAUUUUUCCAUUAAAUAUGAAACAUUUAUAAUGUGAAAAUAAUGAUUUAUUUAAAAAGAAUAAAAACAAUCAAUUUCAUAAAAUCAUUUUUCCAUUAAAUAUAAAACAUUUAUAAUGUGAAAAUAAUGAUUUAUUUAAAAAGAAUAUUAAAUAAUUUGAGCUUAAAAGAUUAAUCAUUCUUAAUCUUGUUUGUUAUCAUCAAAAUCAAUAUUAUGGAAACAUAUAUGUUAACAGUGGUGGCGGUGGUGGUGGAGGUGAAGGACCGUAAACGUGAGGUGGCGGUGGUGGGUGAGGAGCAUAUGGGUCUGCUACUGGUGGUGGUGGUGGUGGAGGACUUGGACCUGGACCUGGACGGUGGUGUCUAUGAAAUGCCAUGUUUUUGAAAGUUAGGUGAUCAAUACAAAGUGUUGUGCUGUUGUUUUUGUUUUAAGGGAUUUGGAGUUGUUCGUAUGUACACUAGAAACAUGUAUUUCCUUUGACGGUUUGUUGGAUGACGUGCAGAUGUUUGUGCCUCGGCUUCCUCAGCCAAUCAGAAUUUUAUUUUUGUCAAAAUUCGUUUCGUCUCCUCAUAUACUCCGUUUCAAGAGUGCAUAAUAUUUUAUUGACUAUUAUUAUUAUUAUUAUUAUUAUUAUUAUUAUUAUUAUUAUUAUUAUUAUUAUUAUUAUUAUUAUUAUUAUUAUUAUUAUUAUUAUUAUUAUUAUUAUUAUUAUUAUUGGUUUUGACUAUUUUAUGAUGUUUAGACUUUAGACUACAAGAUAUGAUGUCAAAAAUAGACCCAUGUAUAAUAAUAUUAUGUUGUUAUCUUUCAUUUUGAUAACAAAAUCUCUUCGUAUCAUCGCAGAUUAUUCAUUUUCAUUUUACGAAAAGUAAAAAAAAAAAGCAUGGUUGUAAAGAAACUGCACCAUUAAUUAAAUCGUGAAAAUAUUAUUAAUCAUUACUAUAUGAUUUUCUAACUUUCUAAUACCAGUAACCAUAUUAUAAUAUACUAACACACUUUUUUUUCAAUUACACCAAAUUAUUAUUAUUAUUAUUUUCAUAAUAAAUUGAAGCUGUAAUAAUAUUUUUAGCACCAUUCCAAUUUAUUCAAUAAAUAUAUAAUUUAUUAUUUUAUAAAAUAGGCGGCCUCUAACUCUAGUUGAAAAAAAAAGGAAAAAAAAUUGAAUCGAGAACAUGUUUGAGAAUACAACAAAAAUUAUACCAUUCAAAGAAAAAUUAUAAAACCUAAGGGGUAUUAACAAAAAUUCCUUGGACUAGGCCAGGCAAUGUCUGCCACUGGUGGAAAGUAGAUAUUUAUUUGCAUUUGUGGUUGUAAUCGAAAAUGGUAGGGAUAGUGAAUCUUUUAGGUGUAUUUCUUACGGGUGUCGUAAUUUUGACAUCGACUAAAACUUGUUUAAAUUUUGACAUUUUUAUUAGUGCAUUGAAUGUAACGUGUUGCUAUUACGAUGUAGGGAUGGCAAUAGGGAGGGGAGGGGAGGGGACCAAUCUCCCUAUACCCAUUCCUGAUAUUUUGUUAUGUCCCCGUUCCCUCCGCGUCCCCGUCAGAAUUGCUUAAGAGAAUCUUUAUCCCCUCUCUGAAUAAUAACAGGGGAUCCCCGAGGGUCCCCGGUCCCCGAAUAACUAAUAGUCUAAUACAUUUUUUUUUAUUUUUUUUUAAAUUAAUCAUAUUAAAAUAAAAAAUUCAGAUAAAAAUAAAGUUUAAAAUAUAUCUUGCAUUAAUAUUGAUCCAUUACAAAGUCACAUUCAAAAUAUAAAUUAUUAAAAUAAUUAUCUUUGUCAAUGACUCAAUCUUCAUAAUCCUACAAUAAAAAGAAAAAAAAUUAUUUUUAUAUCGGUAAUAAAAUAAAUAAAAUAAAUGUAGAUACUUAAUUAAUAUUUUUAAUAAAACUAUUUACCUCCUGCUCCUCCUGUUCUUCCUCGAGAAAUGUGGCAAAUUGAGAGCUAGUCUCAGAUUUCAAACCUAAAACAAUGAAAAUGAUAUAAGUAACGUAACUUAUAAGUGCAAAUAUUAAUUACUGUAUAAUAUAAUUACAAUGUAAAAUAAACUCAUACUGCUAUUGUAAGCUCGUAACCAACUUUGACAGCACAUUAAGGCCUCCAAUGUGUUUGGAUGAAGUUUGUUACGGUGUGCACUCACAACUCUACCACCGGUGCUAAAAGCUGAUUCAGAAGCAACUGUUGUAAUUGGAAUUGCCAAAAUAUCUCUAGCAAUUCGAGCUAAUGUAGGAUUCGAAUUAGGAUUAGAACUGUUGUAAAUUAUAAUUAGGCAGCUCUCUCCUGUAUCAUUGUGGUUUAGAUUAAAAAUUUAAGACUUUAAUUAGUUAAUUAAGUUUAAAAGUUUAAUAAUAUAACUAUUUUAAUAUUUAUUAUUUUUAACAAUAUUUAUAAUUUUGUUAUUUAUUUAUUAGUAAUUUUAAAAAUAAAAAUAAAAUUAAAAAUUAAAAUGGGGAAAUGGGUAGGGGAUGGGGAUUCCACCUCAUCCCCGUCCCCUCCCCGAAUAAAAAAUUGGGUAAAAAUUUUUCCCGUCCUCUCCCCGAAUAAAAAAUUGGGUAUAAAAUUAUCCCCGUACCCCCCCCCCCCCCGAAUGAGGAAAAUCCCCGAGGGUACCCGUCCCCGUGGGAAUUUUUGUCAUCCCUAUUACGAUGUCACGAAGUCAAGACUCUGUCCUGCUUUCUGCUUCGGCGUUUGUGAUUUGGCUUUGCCAACACCUUCUUCCCUUUCUAAUAUUGUAUUUCCUCCUAUGGUAGGGUGAAUAUUUACUAAUGCUGCAGUGCACACGUCACGAGAACUGGGCUUUCGGUUUGCACAGAUCGAACCCUGGGCUCUUGUUAAGUUUUAGCGCCCCCCCCCCCCCCCCCCAAUACCCAAAUACCAUCCAAACGGAUAAAUAACAACAAUGGAAAAUUCUCAUAGCACCUCUUUUAAAUUUUAUUUUUUUUUCCUAAAAAAUGAUGCUAUAAAAAAAAAACCAUAAUUUUUACUCUUCGAACCUAUCUUUAUAUUCAACGUAAUUUUAUUAAAUCCUAAAUAUAUUCUCAAGCAAUGGAUUUUUGUAAUCAUGUUUGUUCUUUUGCUGGAAUUUAAAUUGCAAUGGCAGCUAGGGGUGGGCAAUUUAUUCGACCUGAUCCAAUCCGAUUAAAAAAAAAUCAAGUUAGGAUCGGAUCAGAUGGAAGAUAAUAUCCGAACGGGUUGGCUAAAAAAAAAAACACACGCAAGACACUCAAACACCACCCACUCAUUCACACAGUCACACCACUCUCAGCCCACUCAAACUCAAACCUACAACAAUGAGCAGCCUACAGCCAACACUCUCGUCUCUCUCAACUCAACUUCACUACUUCAGUUCUCAUCUCGCUCUCGUCUCUCUCUCAAGUCUCAACUCUCGAGAUUCAAGAAAGAAAAUAGAAUUGUGACAAACACACUCUAAAAUAUUUUGCAAAGAAAUAUCAAAUGGAUGAAAAGAUAUAAAUGAAGGAUUCCUAAACCAACAGAAGUGGCAGUGCCUUUCUUUAAGCGCAUUCUCAAUCUUGCACGAGUGACUGAUGUUACUUACAAGGAUGAUAAUGGCUACACCAAUUCUUAUGUGAUCAAAGACUAUAUCACCCACUGCUUGAGAAGCCUGUUCUCUUUUGAGUAGUUUUUGCGAUGCAGAUUACAUCCUAUAUAAACUAUUAAUGUUGUUUUUGGAAUAAGCUCUGAAAUUUGUUCCUCAGAGAGCUUUUUUGCUGCUGUCAUCACAAUUAUCAAAUUCUUCCGUACAAUUAGUAAAGGCUUCCCUGUUUAUAUAUAUAUAAAUAAAAGAAAUCACCCAACAUAGUGUUGUUUAACUGAAAAAGGAAAUUCAAGCAUCCAAAAUCAAAAUAUCCAAAAUGAAAAUAAGGUACCUAAUACUUGAAAGAAAGGGAUAUUCAAUACCCGUUUCAAAUCGUGCAUAAUCAUCUAGCAUGGCUCUCAUUGUCCCUCUGCAGCGCCGACUUUUUCCAUUAUUUUCUGCCCUUCUUCACCUUCGUCAUGAACCGAUCAAGACCGAAUGGAUCAGCUUCUUCAGCCUCCUUCUCAAACUUAACCGGUCCGUCCCUCGUACCAGACCUCUCAGAUGUACCUGCAAAUGCCUUGUCGGGUUUAAACCGAUCAGUCUUUCUAAUCUUCUCCAACUGCUCAUCCGCAUUUGCUCCAUAAAUUUCAGCAUCAGCAUCUUUUUUGGGCCUGUAAAGGGUUGAAAGAGUCGGCUGUGCUGUAAACAAGCCUUUGUCAUACACAUUAUACUGAUCACCGUCAGUGGCAAAACCAGAGUCCAUUCCUUUCUUCUGAUUAAAAAGCCUUGCGUCAUGAGUAACCUCACCCGCUCUGCCUCCGCCACCAAAAGAGGCCAUCCCAAGGGCAACUUUCUCGCUAACAUCCCGAUCUCUGUCUCUAACAACCUUACUAUUCUUCUUCCCCAUAGCAACAUCCUUGGCCAGCAAAUUUCUCUCCCUCUUCCUCUCGCGACGUCUCUCCUCACGAAUUCUCUCCCUCUCCCUUUCCCUCUCCCUCAGCAAUCCCUGCUCGCUUUCCUUCAAUGUCUCCAUUGCCUUACGUGCUAAAUCCCGUAGCUGCUGCUCUUUCCUUUCCUUCUCCUUCGUGAGCAUCUCCAUCUGCACCUUGAAUCUUAUUUCAAUUGCCUCCCUCGCCUUCUGCUCUGCCAAAUAAAGAGCCUCCGACAAUUUAGCAAAUCCCUCAUUUACCUGAACCUCCAGAAGCCCUCUUCCUUCGGCAGCGAGCUGCUUAUCCAGCGGAAUUGUAAACCGCUGUGGGUUCUUCCAAUUUGAUAUACAUGGUGGGAUUCUCCAAUCCAGCUGAUCUUUCACAGUCAUAGGCCUAGGAGGGGAAUGCAUGACCGGUACUGGCGGAGAUCCCGAAGCUUUCGGCACACGCUUGUGCUUCAACUUUGGUGGCUCAAGUGGGUCCAAAGGCAUCGCCACCACUCUCAAAAUCCUCCUUUUUAGGGAUGGCAAUGAAUUGGAUUUGAUCCAAGAUCCAUGUAAUUCAAAUCCAAUCGGAUCGGAUUUGGAUCGGUUUAAAAUAGAUUUGGAUCAGAUGUGCGGAUUUAAGACGAAUCUGGAGUAGAUAUGGAUCUAUCGUAAUAUUUAAAUCCAUAUUCAUAUCCACUCAUCUUUUAAUUUUAUUUUAUUUUAAAAGUUUCUUAAUAAUUGUGGAAUGAUAAUAUGAUAAUAAAUUUUAUUCAUAGCAUAUAUAGUAGUAUUUACCAUGUAUUUAAACUCUUUUUUUUUUUUAGAAGAAUGUAUUUAAACUCUUAAAACUUAAAGGUUAGUUUUGUAAAUUUAAAGGUCAGCCAGCCUCAAAGCAUGUACAUGCAAUAUUCAAAUUGCAAUCCAAGUAAUAUAACCUGGUAAUUUAUUUUAUCAUAUUGGCCAAAUAAUUUUUAAGGAAUAUAGUUAUUCAUAUAUUUAGUCAAAUAUGGUCAUAAUAAAAAUAAUAAAGGACUGAAUAUAAAUCAUAUUUAAUUUAUAUGUCAUUAUUUAAUGUUGUAGGAAUGAGGGUAGGUGUAUCGUGGAUAUUAGAAUGAUGAAGGAGACAAUAGAAUAUUAGAUUGAUCUUACUCCUGCAAUUACUUCUAAAUGAUAUUUUAUUAUCUUUCUUAUUUGUUGUUUUGGUAUAAAAGUAUAAGCUACAAUAUUUAUUAUAUUUUUUAGAAAAAUUAUAUAAUUUAUUUGUUAUCAAUACAUUUUAGCCUUCAAUUUUCAAUCUAAAAAAUUAUUACUUUUUUAUUACGGAAUUUUAGAAUUCAUGAUGGAUCUAGAGCAGAUUUGGAUUUUAAUUUUUUUUCAGAUUUGGAGCGGAUAUAGAUAUUUAUUUCUUUUUUGGAUCUGGAUAUGGAGCGAAAAAUAUGGAUUCAUAACAGAUCUGGAGCAGAUAUGGAUCUUGAUUUUUAUUAUGGAUUUGGAUCUGGAACAAAUACGGAUCUUAAUUUUUAUUAUAGAUUUGGAUCUGGAGCAAAAUAAAUCCAACACAUAUCUACCUCAUUGCCAUCCCUACUCCUUUUAGCCCCAGAAUAGAAGUCCACCGAUUGUUGUGAUGGUCUGUACAUAAUAAAUUUGGACUCUAAUGACUGCGUAGGUGCAGCAUUCACAACACUGUUAACAAUCUUUUCAAGUUCAGCUUUUGUUACAGGAGUAGUCACGUCAAUCUCAUCUUCUUGAUCAGGAAAAGCGCUACCAUCAUCAUCAUCGAAAUCCUCAAGUUUCCGUGGAAGUAUCACCAUGUUACAAAGAUUUCUUGCUUGUCAAUCAAGCCUGUGAUUAGUCCCAAGCAAUUUAAGGGUUCCUCAAGGGCUGAAAAAGAAUCUUGUGUUUUUUGUUAUCGUACACAACCAGCAAAUUUCUCUCCCAGUAGCGGCGACUCUGUUUUAAGAUUUGCUAAUGCUAUGCUAGUUUGCUAACUUGUAGCGGAGGUAAUCUCACUAAUGCUAAAACUAGAUAUCCUGAUGUAAAAACUUUAAACACAAAAAAAGUGCUCGUUUUGAAAAAUUAUUUGAGAUUACAACCUUAUUUAUUAGUUUUAAUUAUUACUCAAAAAAGCUAUUACAAUAAUUGAAAUCCUAGUCAAAACUAAAAUAAUAAUAAAAACUAAUUAAUAUGGCAACAGAUAAGACAAAUCCUAAACAAAUUAGAAAUACCAAUUAAAAAGAGGAAAAUUUCGGAUUAGAACAAAAAGAAAGGGCAAUAAUCUUUAUCCGUAUCCGUAGAAAAUAAGGAAAAUUUUUUAUGUAGAUAAUAAAGACUUGCCCACGGUAGUGUCCUAAGAAAGUAAGGAAAACCAAUCUAUAUAAAGAGACUUGCCUGUGCUUGUCGAAAAGCAUUAUACCUUCUUCUUUUAAUUAGCCUGCUAGCUAGCUCCUUAGUAAUCAGUCCCAAAUUUUCAGCUUUCUUAACUUCUUCUCCGUUACCUUAUUCAUCAUCUUCAUUAAAACAAGAAAACAGGAGAAAAAAAAUGCCUGGUGUUUCAAGAAUUGAUAAGGGUAAUGGCAGAGUGUACCCUGGAUACCUUACCCCAUUCGUCGCAAUCACAUGUAUCGUUGCUGCCAUGGGUGGCCUCAUCUUUGGUUACGACAUUGGGAUUUCUGGUAAAUAUAUUUAUACUUACAUACAUAUUAACUAGCUAAUUAAGUACUGUAGUAUUGUGAAUUAUGAGUUAUGCUGACGGUUUAAUCAAAAUAUUAACCUAGCUAACUGCAUAAAUAAUAUAACGCAGGUGGUGUGACCUCAAUGCCUUCGUUUUUGAAGAGUUUUUCCCAUCGGUGUACGAGAAGCAACAAGUAAACUCGUCAGCGAAUCAGUACUGUCAAUAUAACAGCGAGUCGUUGACUUUGUUCACGUCUUCGCUAUACUUGGCUGCUUUGAUAGCAUCGCUUGUAGCAUCAUCGGUGACAAGGAAAUUCGGAAGAAAGUGGUCCAUGUUAUUCGGUGGGGUUCUGUUUCUUGCUGGUACAUUAAUCAAUGGCUUGGCCCAAGACGUUUGGAUGCUUAUUGUUGGCCGUCUUUUGCUCGGUUUCGGUAUCGGCUUCGCUAAUCAGUCUGUGCCACUCUACCUCUCUGAGAUGGCCCUCUAAAUACAGAGGAGCCUUGAACAUUGGGUUUCAAUUGUCAAUCACCGUUGGAAUUUUAGUGGCCAACCUGUUGAAUUUUUUCUUUGCUAAGAUUAAGGGUGGCUGGGGAUGGCGUUUGAGCUUAGGUGGUGCCAUGGUCCCUGCCCUUAUCAUCACCGUCGGUUCAGUUUUCCUCCCGGACACACCAAAUUCAAUGAUUGAACGCGGCCAGCACGAUGAAGCCAGAAAGCAACUUAGAAAAGUUCGCGGUGUUAAUGAUGUUGACGGAGAAUUUAAUGAUCUUGUUGCAGCCAGUGAAGCAUCCAAGCAAGUUGAACAUCCUUGGAGGAAUUUGUUGAGAAGGAAAUAUAGGCCUCACCUUACCAUGGCUGUUCUGAUUCCCUUCUUCCAGUAAUUCACUGGCAUUAAUGUUAUCAUGUUUUACGCUCCUAUUUUGUUCGACACAAUUGGUUUCGGCAAUGAUGCAUCACUCAUGUCCGCUGUGAUCACCGGUCUUGUCAAUGUUUCCGCAACAUUCGUAUCAAUUUGUACUGUCGACAAGUGGGGAAGAAGACGUCUUUUCCUUGAAGGUGGUGCUCAAAUGUUAAUCUGCCAGGCCGUUGUUGCUGCUUGCAUCGGUUAUAAAUUUGGAGUUGAUGGGAAUCCUGGAGAGUUGCCUGUUGAUGCUUAAAUCUGCUCGCCUUUAGACCGACCAGAUUCUUUCACCAACGUUUGUGUUAUCUACUGUUGCUCGUUCACUGGGAUUGGAAUCGUCCUUCUUUCUCACAAUAGACCUGCGCUCACCAAAAACGGAUCAGAGACGCCGGUGGUUUUGCCGGCGUAAACCCUCCGAUGCUUAAGUUAGCUCAAGGUGUUUACGGGAAAACAGUGCAAUUUAGAUCUCAAAAUGGUUUCUAAAUUAUUCGGAGUUUAUAAGAAAAUAGCCUGAUUUCAAUUUGGCAGCGUUUCCCCUCUCUCAAUUUUUCCAUCCCCUUCUUCAUCGAUUUCUUCUUCUUUUAUAGCCGAUGUCCCCACGUUCCCGCUUGCCCUUCAUCCCACCUUUUUUGGGUAGUGGUAGCCUCUCAUGGGGCUCUAACUGCUGCAUUAUGGGCAAACGUGGGAUCUCGCGUCUCCCGCAACGGUUCUGGGAAAGCACAACUACCGUGAUUCUGUGAGAUCGUGUUUCCGCUUUUCGGGGGACGGGUACCGGCUCGGUAUGUGGCUCUGGUCAGUAUUCGUCUCUGAUCGACUCAUGUUACCCCUGUUCUGCUCGUACCAUUUGGCUGAGGUGAUUCAUGCCGGGGUGGAAGUAGUAUCCUGGCCGACCUGGUGCUUUUAUUUGCUUAACACCAGUCCCCCAGUUUCUGGUCUUGUGAGUGAAAUGAGUCAAGAGUAGAAACUGAUAGUCGACUCUUACCAAUCCGGGGGUUUCUCCUCUGGUCUUCUGUCUACCGGGACGAACCUGAGCAAUUCAUUUUUCUUCGGGUGAGAUUUUGAUCUGGGCGUGGGCCUAAAUGAGCAUGUCCACUGCGCACCUGGGCUUGCAUCUAGCCCGGCCUCUUGUAACGGUUGGUGACAUGGCAUCUCCCGAUUCUUCGCAUUUGAAAUUUGAAACGACGGGCUAUCUGUCCUCGAUGUACGGUGAGUGAGCUGGCGUCCCCAUCACUUAAAUGCUUCCAUUUCCCCCCUUUUCGUUUUAAAUCCCUAGACUGGAGUCUUCACCAUCUUGUUACUCGUUUCUCCACCGUUAACCAAAUUUUCUCUGGACUUUGCUCACACUUCCAGCGUCCGGAGUAUCCAUUUGCUGGGUGUUUUCUCUGUCGCGGCGGCUCUAUCAGUGUCAGUCUAUUCCAGGUAUAGCCUUUAACAUUUUCUUCGGCUGUUGUUGAUUGGGUUCUGUGUUGCCCCUUUGUGUCCAUAUACUCGAGUUUUCUCUGUCUUCUUUUGGGAUUCCGGUAUGUCAAAUCGGAAGAGGAAGUUAAUUGUUGAUGAGGGUGAUGACGAAUCAGGGGAUUCAGGCCUCAACGUGCCAAUACCCACCGAUUUUUUAGGUCCCUCCAGUAGUGUAGGUCCUCCUCAUGGUAGGGAUACCCUUGAGUACCCACGCCCCCUGGUUGUCUCUCCCUCUCCCGAAUUAAAGCUUGUAGGAAAUAGGGGUGGACCUGCGUCGGGCUCUGGUGAGAACCACAGCUUUGGUGGGGUUGGGAUCCCUGAAGGAGUUGGUGAUGGUAAGGGGAGCAGUUCCGGACCGAGCAGACCUGCUCAGAAAAGGAACCUAGGCCAUAGGGUGGAGGCUGAUUCCUACCCUAUUGAUUUCAUGGCUUGUGCCACCACCCCCACCGAUCUAUUUAAACUUAGGAAUCUCUACAACAUCCCCAACGAGGUUCUUCUUGUAGUUCCUGGAAAAGGUGAUGUCCCUAGUCGGCCUCCGAAAUGGUAUGUGACGAUGCACUUGGAGAGUUUCAGACUAGGAGCUCGGCUACCCCUUCAACCUUACUUUGCCAAGAUACUGGGCGGUAUGCACCUGGCCCCAGGUCAGCUAUACCCAAAUGGGUGGAGGGUUCUCUCGGCAAUGUUUGUGUUGUGGGAGAGGUGCGGGUCGGAGGAGCCUUCUCUUGUUGAAGUGAAACAUCUGUACCAGCUGCGGAGUAGCCCGAAGGAGGCAGGCUGGUACUAUUUCAUGUCCAGUUCCGCAAAGAGGAAACCGAUCACUGGGUUUCCAUCUUCAUGUAAAAAUUGGAAGAACAAAUUCUUCUUUGCUGGAGGGAACUGGUGUCCAGCGGUUCAGUCGCUUGGUGGGGACAUUUAUCUUCCCACCCAUUUUGUCACUCCAGGUCGUUCAUUUUUGCCUAUAUUCUUUCUCAAAUUGCCACUCAUUGGGUUCUUUAACCUUGUUUGUUUUUUCAGAAUCGUGGGGUUUGGUGAAGGAUCUUGAAGACCGACCUUUGCUUCAGGUGGAAACUGCUCUGUUGAACGCGUCUACUUGCCAAGACCUCCUGUCGCCAACAAACUUGGUCGGUUCCCGCUUAGUAGAUAUUGCCACUGGAAUGGAUAACAAGAUCCUCAGCGCGUUGAGCAGAAAGCGUGGUCGGGCUCCGAGUAGCUCCAGCAACCCUCCUCCUCCUCCAAAGAAACCCAUCGUCGGUCCUUCCAAGGCGCCAGUUCCUGCUCUGCCCCCUCCUCCACCUCGAAAGAGUGGUGGGGAUAAAACCUCCGACAAGAGUCCUGAGGUCAGCUUGCAGUCUGGGGACCGCUCUUCUCCUCUUCCAUCUCGGGAUCAAGGUGACUACCUGAGCCCAUAUCAGAAGGAUUACAGAAAAUCGGUUGGGCCCAAGAUGGUGAAGGACAUCGAGAGCAUGAGCCUCUCCGAGUUAGCUGUUUCUGUUCAAAGAGUCUCCUUCAGGCUGGCCACAAUGGUCUCGUGCUACAAGACCGGGUCCGCGCGUCAUGAGAGGAAGCUCCAAGCUGAUAACCAGGAGUUGAAAAAGAAAGUCGAAUCUGCUGACCGUUCCAAGGAGAAACUGGCCGAGCUGAACAAGCAGCUUACGGAGCUUGAGGAGAAAGUUGCUGUUGCUGAGUCCACUUCCUCCAAGCUUGAGGAUGAGUUGGGUGAUCUGAAGUCCGAUCUUCAGGCUACCCAAAGUGAAAGGGAUACUCUGAGGGUCGCCCUUGAAGGAGAGAUCAAAUCCCUGAAGGACCAGCUGGCUGAGGAGAAAAGCAAAUCAGCUGACGUGGAUGAUCGGCUGGAUGCCGAGUAUGACUCCGGGGUUGCUUUCAGCUAUAAGUGCAUCAUGUCUGUGCUUAAGGAAGAAUAUCACGAGCUCGACAUGAGCAAGCUGGAAUCUGGGGUGGAGAGGUAUAUGGCUGGGGCCGGCUAGGGAGAUAAGGAGCAGGUGGAGGUUCCUUUUGAUGAGGUGCGGGAGGAAGGAGCUGGUCAGUGUGUUUUUGAAGUGGGACAAGGGUACGCGCCUCCUCCUCCCGUUAUUGCUGAUCUUCCACCUCCCGAGAUAGCCGACGCUUCUCCUGCUGAGGCCGUUGACCUUCCUAAUCCUUAGGUCUAUUUUUGUAAAAAACUCUAGAUUGUUAUUCGCUUUGUAAACAUUUGAACAUUUAUAAAUUUUUAAAUGCUCUCAAUUGGCUUUCUUGUCUGGUUUUGCUCACGGGUUGCUUCUGCAAAACAACUUGGCAAUUUAUCUGAUUUUGCCUGUUGGUUUUUUAGUGCAUUGAGCAGGAAUAGGCAUCCGUUUGCCUUAGCGAAAUUUUCGCAAAAUUGCCUGCUGGUCUUCGAUGACCGAGCAGGAGCGGACACUUAUUUGCCUUAGUAGAAUUGUCGUAAAUUUAGCUGCUGUUUUUCGUUGACCGAGCAGAGGUAGGCACUUAGUCGAAUUUUCGUAGCUUUAGCUGCUGGUCUUUCGUUGACCGAGCAGAAGAAGGCACUGAUUUGCCUUUGUAGAAUUUCCGUAGCUUUAGCUGCUGGUCUUUCGUUGACCGAGUAGAAGUAGGCACUUGCCUUAAUCGAAUUUUCGUAGCUUUAGCUGCUGGUCUUUCAUUGACCGAGCAGAAGUAGGCACUGAUUUGCCUUUGUAGAAUUUCCGUAGCUUUAGCUGCUGGUCUUUCGUUGACCGAGCAGAAGUAGGCACUUGCCUUAGUCGAAUUUUCGUAGCUUUAGCUGCUGGUCUUUCGUUGACCGAGCAGAAAUAGGCACUUUGUUGCCUUAGUAGAAUUGUCGAAGCUUUAGCUGCUGGUCUUUCGGUGACCGAGCAGAAACAGGCACUUUAUUGCCUUAGUAGGAUUUUUUGCAGAAUUAGCUGCUGGUCUUUAGUGGACCGAGCAGAAGUUGGCACUUACUUGCCUUAGUAGAAUCUUCGUAGGUUUAGCUGCUGGUCUUUCGUUGACCGAGCAGAAGUAGGCACUUACUUGCCUUAGUAGAAACUUCGUAAAUUUAGCUGCUGGUCUUUCGUUGACCGAGCAGAAGUAGGCACUUGCCUAGGUAAAACUUUUAUUGAUUAGACUAGCAGGGGGAUUUCAUGCUGAAUUCAUCUUUAUUUGAAAUUUGAAAGCAUUACAAGAAUACUGGAUACAUACAUGUGCAGCAAAGCCAUGAUGCAGUUAACAUUGAUAUCUUGUCAAAAUGGAGAUUUAGUAGAGCACUUUGCUUACUGGAAAUACUUCUUCAAGUGUUCGGCGUUCCAUGACCUCUUCACUUCUCGUCCAUCUUGGUGUGCUAAUUUAUAGGCUCCUGGUCCAGUGGCUCGUAUCACCCGGUACGGGCCUUCCCACUUUGGGCCAAGAGCGCCAUGAUUAGGAUCCCUGGUGUUCUGGUUCACCUUCCUAAGUACCCAAUCUCCUGCUCGGAACUGCCUCACGCGCACGUUCUUGUUGUAAUAACGCAUGACCCUUUGUUGGCACUGGGCCACUUUCUGCACUGCCCCUUCCCUUUUCUCCUCCAGCAGGUCCAGACUUAAGCAAAUCUGCUCGUCAUUUUGCUCCUUAGUGAAAUAUUCCGUCCGAUGUGUUCUCACUCCAACCUCUGCUGGGAUUACCGCCUCAUGACCAAAGGCUAAAGCGAACAGUGUUUCUCCUGUGGUGGUUUUGUGAGUUGUCCUGUAGGCCCACAGUACUCCUGGUAGCUCGUCAACCUAAGCUCCCUUCUUCUCUCCCAAUCUAGUCUUUAGGAGCUUCUUUAUCACCUUGUUGGCUGCUUCCACUUGUCCGUUUGCCUGGGGGUGUGCGGGGGUGCAGAACUUCAGGUCCACCCCCAGGUUUCGGCAAAAUUCCCUGAAGUUGCCGUUGUCAAAUUGCCUCCCAUUGUCCGUGAUGAUGGCGUAGGGGAUCCCAUAUUUGCAGAUGAUAUUCUUCCAAAUAAAAUCUGUUGUCUUCCUCUCCGUGAUCUGGCUGAGGACUCCUACUUCCACCCACUUGGUGAAGUAGUCUAUUGCCACAAUUGCAUGUGUCGCCGCUCCUCGUCCCUUAGGCAAUGGACCAAUCAAGUCGAUUCCCCAUUGAGCGAAAGGCCAUGGGGAUGUCAUAGCCGUCAGCUUUUCCGGGGGUUGUGCAGGAACCUCGGAGAAGCUUUGGCAUGUUUUACAAUUCUUUGCCAUCCUUUUGGCAUCCUGGUGCAUGGUUGGCCAGAAGUAUCCUUGCCGGAGUGCCUUGAAGGCUAAAGUUCUUGCUCCCGAGCGAUUGCCGCAUAUUCCCUCGUGAAUCUCUCUCAGCACAUAAUCCGCCUCCUCAUCAUCCAAACAUCUCAAAAGGGGCAAGGUGAACCCUCGGCGGUACAGCACUCCAUCCAGUAGCGUAUACCUUGCUGCUCGGCAUUUUAAUUUUCUUGCUUGCCUUUUGUCCUAUGGUAAAACUCCAUCGCGGACAUAUGCGCGAAUCGGGUCCAUCCAGGAUUCUCCAGUACUUACUCUCAUCACCUCUGCUUCUUCCUCAAUACUUGGUGAGGUCCUUACCUCUAGUGGAACUGACUUCGGUAACUUUGGAUCUGCAAUGGCUGCCAUCCUAGCCAGCAUAUCUGCUCGGAAAUUCUCAUUCCGGGAUAUCUGCUUUACCUCCACUGCUUGGAAAAGCCCAACCAUCUGCUUCGCCUUCUUUAAAUAAAGACCCAUCUUCUCUCCCCUUGCUUGGAACUGAUCAUUGAGCUGAUUACACACCAGUUGGGAAUCUGCUCGAAUUUCUACCCUCUCUGCUCUUAGAGCGUGUGCAAGUCCGAGCCCGGUGAUAAAGGCCUCAUAUUCAGCUUGGUUGUUUGUGAGCUGAAAGUCAAACUUCACUGCAUACGUUAUUUCGGUUCCUUCUAGGCUCUGUAUUACAACUCCUGCUCCGGAUCCUUGCUCACUACAUGAUCCGUCAACCAUUACCAACCACAACCCCUCUGGUUUCUCCUGCUCUGCUGCUUGCUCCUCCCGAAUUUCUUUCCCUGUAUCGGCUCGGUCAACCAUAAAUUCAGCCAGAGCUUGGGCCUUGAUUGCUCCUCGGGGCCUGUAAGAGAGGUCGAAUUCACUUAGCUCUACGGACCAUUUUACUAGUCGACCCGAUGCAUCUGGUUUUUGAAGUGUUUGCCGAAGGGGCUGGUCGGUCAUAACAAUAACCUGAUGGGCCUGAAAAUAUGGUCGAAGUUUUCGUGCUGCCGUUAUUAGAGCUAGCGCCCACUUCUCCANNNNNNNNNNNNNNNNNNNNNNNNNNNNNNNNNNNNNNNNNNNNNNNNNNNNNNNNNNNNNNNNNNNNNNNNNNNNNNNNNNNNNNNNNNNNNNNNNNNNNNNNNNNNNNNNNNNNNNNNNNNNNNNNNNNNNNNNNNNNNNNNNNNNNNNNNNNNNNNNNNNNNNNNNNNNNNNNNNNNNNNNNNNNNNNNNNNNNNNNNNNNNNNNNNNNNNNNNNNNNNNNNNNNNNNNNNNNNNNNNNNNNNNNNNNNNNNNNNNNNNNNNNNNNNNNNNNNNNNNNNNNNNNNNNNNNNNNNNNNNNNNNNNNNNNNNNNNNNNNNNNNNNNNNNNNNNNNNNNNNNNNNNNNNNNNNNNNNNNNNNNNNNNNNNNNNNNNNNNNNNNNNNNNNNNNNNNNNNNNNNNNNNNNNNNNNNNNNNNNNNNNNNNNNNNNNNNNNNNNNNNNNNNNNNNNNNNNNNNNNNNNNNNNNNNNNNNNNNNNNNNNNNNNNNNNNNNNNNNNNNNNNNAGAUGCUUCACAUGAUCCGUCGUCUCUUUGGACUUUGUAAUCAUAUCAUCCACAUAUACCUCCAUAGUGUAUCCAAUCAACGGUUUGAAGAUCUUGUUUACCAACCUUUGAUAGGUGGCUCCUGCAUUUUUUAGGCCGAAAGGCAUUACCCUGUAACAAAACAAACCCAUGUUAGUUAUAAAGGCAGUGCUUUCCUCAUCCUGCUCGUCCAUGGGUAUCUGGUUGUAUCCAGAAAAGGCAUCCAUGAAACUGAGCAGACUGUGACCUGCUGUUGAGUCCACCAGCUGAUCUAUUUUGGGUAGGGGAAAACUGUCCUUUGGGCAUGCCUUAUUGAGGUCCGUGAAGUCCACACACAUUCUCCACUUCCCGUUGGCCUUUUUUACCAGGACUACAUUUGAAAUCCAUUCUGGGUACUUGGCUUCCCUUAUAAAUCCUGCUUUCAACAACUUCUCCACCUCGGCGUUUAUGGCCUCGUACCUUUCCUGGUUGCAGCAUCUCCUCUUCUGUCUCACCGGCCUUGCCCCCUUCUUGAUUGCCAACUUGUGGCAAGCUACCCCGCGAUCAAUUCCGGGCAUAUCUUCAUGAGACCAGGCGAAUAUAUCCGCAUGAGACUGUAGGCAAUUUACCAGCUCGCCUUUUACUGCCCCAAUCAAUCCUGACCCGAUCUUCACUACUCUGCUCGGGUUGCUUUUGCUUAUCGCAACUUCCUCCAGUUUCUCAACAGGCUCUUGGCGGCCCUUUUUAGACUCUCCUCGAUUAUCUAGAGAAGUAACCUGUAGUGUCUCCUUGGCCGCCGUAGCUUAACAACUCCUUGCCACCCUCUGGUCGCCUUUUACUACGCCAACCACCCCAUUUAUUCUGUAUUUCAGCGCCAAGUAAUGCGUGGAUACAACGCAUUGGCUUAUCCUCAUGAAUGGUCUCCCCAGUAUCAUCUGGUAAGGGCUUCUUUCCUCUACCACGACGAAGUCCAGCAUCAUCGUUCUUUCAAACGGCUUUGUCCCCACAAUAAUCGGGAGUUCAAUGAUCCCCAAGGGAGUUAACUGUCCCCCUCCAAAUCCUUUUAAGGAAGUAUUUGUCCGUUCCAGCUUUAAAUCUGAAAUCCCCAUAUCAUCUAGGGCUGACUUAAAUAGAAUGUCAACUGAACUGCCCGUGUCCACCAGUAUUCGCCGCAAUUCUGUGCUAGCCACCGAUGCUUUAAUUACUAGUGCAUCCUCAUGAGGAUAUAAAAUACCCUCUUCAUCCUCAUCUGUCCACAUAAUGGGAACUUGUCGCGCUUUUGCCUUCUUGGUUGCUGGCAAAUUGAAAAGCACUUCUUUGCUAGUCAGGGCGUAUCUCCCAUAGUUCUUCCGUGCCCUGUUCGAAUCUCCGGCCAAUGUUGGUCCUCCUGCUAUCACACGGAUAGUCGGCUGUUCACGUUCCAGAUCCCUCUCAACUCCCUCAUCCCGUGUGUACUGUGAUUCCAUGACAGGGGAUAUUCCAUCUACAUACUCGUCCAAGUAUCGGUUCCUCACUAAAUCCUCCACCUGAAUCUUCAGGUCACGACAUUGGCUGAUAGUGUGACCGUGAGUGUCGUGGAACUUGCAUAAUCGGCUCUUAUCCCGUCGGUGAGUCGGUUUUAUUAUUGGGGCUGGAGGGUACAACAGGCCUCGUCCCUCGAUCCUCUCAUACAAUUCCUCCAUGGAGAUCUUUAGCGGAGUGUAUUGUCUAUAUGCCAAGCUCUGGUCUACCAGCUGAACUGCUCGGCUAUCAUGAACGUCACCUCGGGAUGGCAUAGUCGCUGACUGAUCUGGUCGUCUAGCCCUGGAACUGGUUACGUGUAAUGCUCUGGGAGUGUUAUGAUAGCGGUCGGCAGCCAUCUGCCGGAAUUCUCGCUGCCGAUCCGGGAAUGGGGGACGUGGAGGUUGAGCCCGGUUGUGCUGGAACUGUUGUGAUCUCGGAGUUAUGGGGUAAGGGCGGGAUCGAGCUGAUGUUCCGCCCCUUACUGAGGGUUCCCCAGCUCGCUUUCCCGACCCGCUCCCAUUUGGAGUUCUCAUUUCCUUUCGUCUCAGCUCCUCCAGCUAUUCACUCUUUAUCUUUGCCGAUUUUUCUUCUUCGAUUUCGAUAUCUCUCUUUGCCUGCUCAUAUCCUGCUGAAUAAUUCUGCACCAGGGGGCUUCUCAGGUUAUACCAUAGCCGGCCUAUCCUCACACCCUCCUUUAAACCCCUCAACACCUGCGGGUGAUUGAAAGCUCCCAAAUCAAGUACGGCUCGGUGGUAUCGCUUUACAAAAUCCCGUAGGGACUCGUGCUCCUCCUGUUUCAUCCCCAUCAGUUCCAUCAUGUCGUCCUCUAGGGCUACUGCCCCUCGGAACUGCUCGGCCAACUCCUGGCACAUCUGCUCAUACCCCUUUAUACUUCCUCCGGGCAGCUUGCGGUACCAUUCUCGAGCUCGUCCCUCUAGUGUCAACGGGAACGCCCUGCAUCUCUGAGCUGAUGUCAGCCCCUGCACACCCGUCAUAUCGUUGAAACGCUCAAUGUACACCAGUUGGUCACUUCGCCCGGAGUAUUUGAGGUUGGGGAAGCGGAAAUCUCUUGGGAUUAUGAUACCCAUGAUCUCGAUUGAUAACAGAGAUUCUUCAUCUAACAUUAUCCUCCAGCUCGGGGGCUUUCUCUUGCCUUGUAUCUCCUCUAUCACCUGCGCCAACCUGCGCACCUCCCCCUCCAAUUCUAUAGCACGGCUAGGAUCACGCGCAGCUAUCUGGUCUCGCUUCUGCUCAGCGUUCUGCAACCGCUGUCUGAGCUCUCCUUCAUCAACACUGGCACCUCGGCCAGUAGUUUCCAGUACCCAUCCGGGGCGAGUUUGGUCUCUCCCUUCAUCCCCGUGUUCUCCUGGGACCCGGCCAGUACUUCUGUGGGGAUGCACCCCAUUAGGUUGGUCUGCGGGCGGAGGAAUGUCCUCGACUCUACGUCUCCGGAGGCUGGGUUCUGCUCCGACUUCAUCUCUUCCCACGGGGGUUUCACAAUCCCUUCUCCGCUCAUCCCUCAGCUCAAACAAUAUGGACGUGAGAGUCUCCAUUUGUUUCUCCAUCCGCUCCAGUCUGUCUUGCAUCAUCCUCUCUCGGGCUUCAUUCGCAAUUUCCCGGAGAGUGAUUGUCUCCCCAGCCUCGUUAUCCUCCCCAAAAGCGUCCUUUCUCGUCACAUCCAUGUCCAACCGUUCGCUAUUUCUCCGGUACUUCCUAAUUCGGUGGUAGCUUUUUAUCCAGCUCCCCACAGACGGCGCCAAAAUGUUGAUGCUUAAAUCUGCUCGCCUUUAGACCGACCAGAUUCUUUCACCAACGUUUGUGUUAUCUACUGUUGCUCGUUCACUGGGAUUGGAAUCGUCCUUCUUUCUCACAAUAGACCUGCGCUCACCAAAAACGGAUCAGAGACGCCGGUGGUUUUGCCGGCGUAAACCCUCCGAUGCUUAAGUUAGCUCAAGGUGUUUACGGGAAAACAGUGCAAUUUAGAUCUCAAAAUGGUUUCUAAAUUAUUCGGAGUUUAUAAGAAAAUAGCCUGGUUUCAAUUUGGCAGCGUUUCCCCUCUCUCAAUUUUUCCAUCCCCUUCUUCAUCGAUUUCUUCUUCUUUUAUAGCCGAUGUCCCCACGUUCCCGCUUGCCCUUCAUCCCACCUUUUUCGGGUAGUGGUAGCCUCUCAUGGGGCUCUAACUGCUGCAUUAUGGGCAAACGUGGGAUCUCGCGUCUCCCGCAACGGUUCUGGGAAAGCACAACUACCGUGAUUCUGUGAGAUCGUGUUUCCGCUUUUCGGGGGACGGGUACCGGCUCGGUAUGUGGCUCUGGUCAGUAUUCGUCUCUGAUCGACUCAUGUUACCCCUGUUCUGCUCGUACCAUUUGGCUGAGGUGAUUCAUGCCGGGGUGGAAGUAGUAUCCUGGCCGACCUGGUGCUUUUAUUUGCUUAACAUUGCCCAAGUGGUAUGCCUUUGUGGUCGUAAUUUUCAUUUGCAUAUACGUUGCCGCGUUUGCCUGGUCUUGGGGUCCUCUUGGAUGGUUAGUGCGCAGUGAAAUUUUCCCACUCGAAAUCCGGUCAGCAGCACAAAGCGUGAAUGUUUCUGUGAACAUGGCAUUCACAUUUUUGGUUGCACAAGUAUUCUUAAACAUGCUUUGCCAUCUCAAGUUUGGCCUGUUCAUUUUCUUCGCAUUCUUCGUCGUGCUGAUGACCAUUUUUAUCCACUUCUUCUUGCCCGAGACUAAAGGAAUUCCAAUCGAAGAAAUGGGUCAAGUGUGGAAGAAUCAUUGGUUCUGGUCCCGUUAUGUUGGCCAAGAUGAUUUCCUCGCCAAUGGAGGCCUAGAGAUGCACAAAGAAGAAACUGAUGUCAACAAUGUCUGAUCUGCAUGCUCAACUCCAUCCGGAUUUUUGUUUAGUUUCUAUUUUUAUUUUUUAUAUUUUUUAACAGUAAGUAGUAGUAGUACAGUUAUUCUGUCGGUUUAUUAUUCUAGCCUUAUCAAUGCCUUUUCUAUUCGACUUUAGUAGUGUUUAUUACAAUUUCUAAAGAAAUUAAUUUCAUGUAAGUUUUUACUUUAAUCAUUUUCCUUGUUUGGGUUCUCUGUUUUUCCUUUUUUUUUUUUUUUUUCAUCAGAAAUCGUCACUCUUACAAUUUGGACCAAGAAAUUCUUCACACAGGAAUCUGAAGAAAAAUUAACAAGGAUUGAAAAUUUUGACUUAUUGUUUAUCUUUUUUUUUUCUUUUCUCUUUUCCGUCUUCUCUUCUCAUUAAACAGACAUUAAGGCAAAAUUAAUAAAUUAUUUUAUUAUUGGUCUUAUCGUGAGUAGAAAAUCAUUGGUGCAAAUUCAAUUAUUUAGAUCAACAGAAAUUUUGGGAUAUGAAUCAAUGAGAAAAUUUUAAGUAUUCCUAAAAUAUUAUUCCUAUUUUAUCGUGAGUAGAAUAUGACCACCUUAUAUUAACUCAAGCUUUUUAUUUAAAAUUUUAACAUAAAUUCUCAUCUAUAAACUUUGUGGCAAAAUCUUAAGUUGAAAUAGGGAGAAAAAAAUCUAAAGAAUGUAUAAAAUUUGUAGAAAGAAAAGCCGCACGUGAGAUAUGUCAAAAUCAAAAUUCAUCAAUACAUCAAAUUUCAUAUACAUGGCAACUUAAACUCGCACAGUUCAAUGUCAAAAUUUAACUUUUAUCAAAAAGUAACGUUGCAUCCUCAUUUUACCUUUAACUCUAAGAGGUGUUGCAAUGGCCAAAGUAGCCAGUCAAUCUUUCUUUUGACGUUAUUUAAUCAUUCUGUACAGCAGAACACCCAUCAACUACUCUCAUCCUGGCCAUAGCUGCCUGCAUUGAGGAGUUGCUAAAGUUUAACAAUGAAAAAUAAAGCAACGAAAAAAUAAAUUUAACUUGAAUUAAUCAAGAACCUGUUUUUUCCAGUUUGUGAAAGUUGUAGCAAGAGAAAGAAGGGUGGACUGCACAACAGAGCCAGCCACUAUUCCGAUCCAAAGUCCCUUUCCUCUUAAAUGUGCUACAAAACCCAACACGGCACCCACUGGCAACCCAACUAAAUAAAAUGCCCCAAGGUUUAUGUACACCCUAUAUGCUGCCAUCCACACCCUUUCGCAACCCCUAUUGCAAACGUAGAAUCCACCUUUAUUAAGAAAUGAAAAUUUGAACCGCAUUUGAAUCCCAGAUGUUUUGUGGUUUGUGUAUUCAAGAGAUAAUUACCAACUGAUCUAGUCAACACCAACCUCUUGGAUGUAUACUUUAUAUGUGUGUGUCUAUAUAUAUAUAUAUAUAUAUAUAUAUAUAUAGCAUGUAUCUAUUUAACUAUUACGACAUUUACCAAAUGAUAUAUAAGUCAACAGUGACUCUUCAGUCUCCCAUAUUAUUAUCCAACAAAGACUUUAAUUGAAAGAAGUGUAAUUAGAAAGCAACUACUAACCAGAAAAAACAGCUUGUAAGCUGUCUGUAAUAACUGAGAGACAAAUCAGAGGAGCCAUAACAACAACAUAAUGCACAACUUGGUUGUCUUUGGUGUAAGCGUAACCCAAAAAAUAGCGGCAGCAGAAGAGGAUCGUGCCGACUAUCACUGCCUCUACCACAGCAUAACUUGUUGCAGCCCAUACAGCCACUCUAGCUGCUUGCAGAUUCCCAGCUCCAAGCUCAUUUGAAACUCGAGUACUAUACAUGACAUAUAUAUUAACAUGCACAUAGUCAAAUGCUAGCCUGCUCCAUUUGUAUUAUUUUAAAAAAAAUGCAAAUCACAGGGAGCAACCAAAAGCAAGAAAAAAAAAAGACCUUGCAGCUACUCCAAAAGCAUAUGGUAUUGUGAAGUGCAAUGUUGAAAUUGUAAGGCUGAUCAUAAAACAACAACGAUUAGAAGCAUAUACAGUUUAAUUCUAGGACAAUUUAUAAGUCAAAAUUAAAUAGUUAUAACUAAAAUAGGAGCUAAUUACCAAAUUGAAAGUACUGAAGUCUCCAGCUUGGGAUUCGGUAAAAGGCCGGAUAACAAAAUUAAGAUCUCCAUCGACCACCAUUUUAGACUAAUUAAUCACCAUAAUCGAUCACAAUAAGAGAGAGACUUUUGAGAUUAAAAGAGAAGAAACAACACAAAAAGCAAAAUUACCAUUCUAAGAGAUAAGAGGAAUAAUUACCAAACCAUUAUGGCAGAAGGUAUAGCCAAGCGAAAGAACUGUCCAAUGGCUAGUAAAGAUUCUUUAGAAACCGGCGCGCGAGUUUUCUCACAAGCUGAGGAGUACAUCAUGUACAAUCCGAGCAGUAUCACAUUCAACCAAGUUGAUAGACUGAAGGCUAGAGCUGCACCCAUGCUUCCUAAUUCUAGUUUGAACACAAGAGUCCAGCACGCAGGUAUAUGAAAACAUAGAAUUAGAAAAGAACUUGCAAACAUGGGAAGAAUCAAGCUCUGAGUCUGAAAGUAUCGGGUUAGUGGUUUCAGGAUUGCACUCCCGAAUAAUGCAGGGAUUAGCCACAUUGAAUACUUGCGUGCUUCGUGGGAGAUUACAGGAUCUUGGCCUAUUAGAGGUAACAAUUUGUCCAUAAAAAUCCACAACAGGCAAACUAGAGGGCAAACAAGAAUCAACGAAAUUAUGGCAGUGUAAGUAUGAACUCCAAGCUUCCGAAAUUGUGCUGCUCCAUAAGCUUGCCCACAUAGAGUUUCCAAUCCACCAGCCAUUCCUGACUGCUUGGCAAGUCCAAAUUAAAUUCAAUCAUUAAUCAUCAAAAUUAUCUCUAGGAUUAAUUAAACCUGAAGAUGAAGGUAAUGUGAGUAGAGAGCAGCAAACUUACUAGAAGACUAAAGCCGGUAACAUUUGUGAGAGAGGUGGCAAUGGCUACACUAGACAGGGCAAGCUGGCUUAGAUGUCCCACCAUUACCGUUGACACAACUUGCAGAAGGUACUGCAACACAGAGACUGCCACCAUUGGUGCCGCGAUACGGCCAGUCUUCUUCAGCUCUUCCAUAAAUCCACCCCAUGUAAUUGCCCAUCUCUUCUCCUGGCUCUCUCCAACUUCCAUAUCCAUGCAAAAUUGAUAAAUGAUAAUAAUGAUGGUAUCUUAGUUUGCUUUGCCACUAUUAAUAAAAAGAGCCAAUCCAAAGAAACACGAAGUUUGUAUGCUGUCCUCUGUUUUGGCUUUACUUGAGAAUUCAAUAUUAACGAUUUUAUGUUUUGACUGUUCAAAAGAGCAUGCCGAGAGGUUCAAAUUAGUGGACUCUAAUUCCCAACUUUCUGUUGUUUAUAAUCAUUAUUAUACAUUCCCCACGAGCACGGCACAGACAUGAGUAAUGCGGCAAGGGUGCGUUUCGCACACUGCAUUGUAUUAUGUUGUAUUGCAUUAUUUUAAUAUUGGUGUAUUAUAUUAUGCUGUAUUGUAUUAGCAUUGUAUUAUAAUAAUGUUAUAUAAUGUUUGGUGUUAUACUGUACUGUAUUAUUUUUUUAAUUAAUUUAAAUUAAAUAUUAUAUUAUAUUAAUGUUUUAUAUUAUAUUAAUAUAUUUAAAUUGCAUUAAUAUUUUAUGUUAUUAUUUAUAUUAUUAUUAAUUUUAAAUUAAUAUUAUUCAAAUUUAUUCAUAUUUAAAUAUUUUUAUUAGUUAUAAUAAGUUAUAAAUUUAUUAAUAAAUUAUAAUGUAAAAAUAAAAAAUAUACUAUUAUUGAAUGAUAAAUUAUUAAUUUAUUAAUUAUAUUAAUAAUUAUAAUGUAAAAAUAAAUAAAAUAAAAAUAUUAUAUUAAAUUAAAAACCAUAUUUAUUUAUUAUUUUAAUAUUAUAAUAAUAAUAAAGUGAAAAGCAAAAUAAAAUUAAAAAAAAAAAAACAAAGCUAAUGCGUCAGUUGACGCAUUAGCCUCCCACCCCAAUCCCUUGCAAUUUUAUUCCAAACAUAGGUUUGGUAUUAUGUUAAUGUAAACAGUAUUAUAAUAUCCCCUUAAUACUAUAAUCAAACACACCCUAAGAUAAUUGCUGGUGUUUAAUCGGUCAGAUUUUUCAUCUUUUCUCGAUCUUUUGAAAAAUCAUAAUAAUGAUUAUAAUAGAUCCCCAGACACGUAGAUGGGAUUGAGAUUUUGUCUGAUAUGGCUUGAUUUGAAGUAUUUUUUUAUAUCUGCAAUUCUGCAUAUAGUAAGUACAAUCAUAUCUUCUGAGUGAUAGACUUCAUUUUUGGCCGUUCUGAACAAAAACUAUGUUCAAUGACAGUACUGAACUCUAAAUUUCAGUGGAAUAUAAUAAAGGAGAGGAAUAAAAAAGCAUAUUGCAAAUUGGAUGUACUCUCUCACAUCUGAAUCAUUUAAUAAUUGCUUUUGGAAGCACAUUUUUGACUAGUUACUACAUAAUAUCAGCUUAGAAGAAACAGAUGCGAUUCCCCUAGUGGCUUUCAAAUUGCAAUCAGUUGUACGCGAGCGAUUCCUUAACAGAUGAGAAGAAAGAAAAAUGGCAAAAAAGGAAAAAAAACAAUUCUGAUGUUUUCAGGAGUCAGUAGAUGCUGUUGAAAUACAUAUUUUUCACUGUCCUCCCCUUAACUAUGUUAGACUUUAUGUCUAAAUUCGCACUUGUCUCCCAAGAUUUUGAUGGACUGUUAACAUGGAUGACUAAAUGAAUAAAAAUACAUAGACGCCCCUGAUUUGAAGCAAAAUCACCAUGCCAGGAAACAAAACAGCUCGUGUAUAAAGAGAUGACAGUGUUAAUUUCGACAAAAAGAAACUGUGGGUUGGACAAAAUCCAUGAGAGGAUAGUGAAAAAUAUAUAUUUUGAUAUAAUGUAUAUAGUAUAUCAUUUCAAAACUCAAAAGUCGUUUCGUUCUUUAAAAAAAUUCCACUGCUUUAAAAUUAAAAAUCACAUUUAUAAUUAAUUUUUUUAUCAAGUUCUAAAUCCUUUUAUUUUGUCAACAUCCUAAAAUUAUAAUAAGAAUUAACUAUGCUUUGAUUGAUAAAACUAAUGGGGAUUUCGUUCUUAUUUGAUAAAAUCAAUAGUCAUUUCGUUCUUAUUUAAUGUGUUUCCAACUUGUGAGCAAUGGGAGGUAGAAAGCAAACUUGUCCACUUUCAAUUCCCAAACUCAUAAGAAUCAGACCUUUUUUUUUUCAAAUGAUCAAAUAAAUACAAUUGGCUACUUUGACAGACAGGAACAAUACAAGUGUCUUAACAUGUCGAUCAAAUGGCCAAAAGUAAGACGCAAUCCCUAAGUCUAACUUACAAUUGCUAAAAAUAACGUAAAAAUGGACCAGUAUCAUCAUUUUACCUCGUCUUUAAUGGUUGUCAGUUACACUAAAUAUAUUUUAAGGAGACAAUAAUAAUAAUAAUAAUAAUAAUAACAAUUUGAGUAGAAAUUAUCACGAACAUAUUCCUGCAUAUCUUAACAUCUUCAAAGAUAUGUGACUUAUUGAUGUGACGCUCCAUUUUAUCAAACAGUUGCAUCAGAAAAUUCUGAAGGGACUACAAAUGCCUUUUGAUGCAUAGAAGAUUUACAUUACUGACAAACCAAGGACAAAGCAGAAAGAAGCAAGUUUCGAUUUGUUUCUCAGCCAAAAAUCAAGUUCUUCCAUUAUCUUCUGUCUACUUCUUCCCCUAUUAACUCCAAUUUUUGCUCAGACCCUUGGUUUUGGAAUUGGGCAAGUAAUUGGAGGAGUCAAAGAGAAAGAAAGUAAACAAAAUAUAAAUAUAUAUAUCAGCAACUCCCUAGAUCUAAUCUGCUUCUGGCUCAGUUAGGUGAUCAGUCAUUAAGAUCUAUUGCCUCUCCACCUUCUUACUAGUACUCCCAGCCCUUUAGAGCAAAUUAUUAAACCAACCCUCGGAAAGUUCAGACACAUCCUUUGUAUUCCAACUGUGCAAGUGUAAUGUUAACCUAAGGUUCUCUUUCUUUUCAUUUGUAUGCUUGAAGAAAAAUCAACAAGAAAAUGCAAUACCAGCAGGUAUUAUUUGUAAUUCAUAUGGAAAUUAUCAUUAACAUAUGCCUACAUAUCGAAAUCUUCAAAAGGUUGUCAGAGUUUAUCCGCAGCAAUCCAAUCUAUUUUAUCAAAGACAGAAAAACUUAUGUUCAAGCAGAACAAUCAAAAGGGAAAGUAAAUGCCCGAAUUUUGAGCUAGCACCAAUAAAUUGAAGAUGUACAUUAUUGACAAGCCUAGAACAAUAUCAGCUUGAAAAGAAGCAGAUAAAAGCACAUAUUUAGACAAGAGAAACUUACAAACUACCUCAGUUUUUGUGCUGCAGUUGGGACACCAGAUGAACUCAAGUUGGCCCUUUCUGAAUCGUUUGCUGCACGAAAGCCAGCUGUAAUAAAUGUUACUAUUGAUCCCUAUGCCAGUACAAACUACCUCAGUUUUUGUGCUGCAUCCUACCACUUUCUGCACCGGCAUAGGGUUCAAUAAUAACAUUUAUUAAAGCUGGCUUUCGUGCAGCAAACGAUUCAGAAAGGGCCGACUUGAGUUCAUCUGGUGUCCCAACUAAAUAUCCUUUUCCCCCAAAAGCUUCCAUGAGCUUAUGAUAAGCUGCACCAGGUACAAAAGAAGUAGGUGCAGGAUCAUCUUUGAAAGGCCCUGCAAUUUCUUCAGGGUUUCUGCGAUCUCCACCAUACACACCACCAUUAUUAAAAACUAUCACGACAACAGGCAACUGAUAUCGAACCAAUGUCUGCAAAAUCAGAAGAAACAGAGACCACAUUAGUCUCUUUUUCCUCUCCCACCUUUUUCCAUUUAUUGGAUGAGGAUAUGCUAUACGUAUGAAUCAACUUUGGACUUAGACAAAGUAAAAUUCAUUUAUUCCAUUAAUUGAUUAACAUUGACACACUAUCUUCUAAAAAUUCAUUUAUUCCAUUAAUCAAUCUUCUAACUACACAGAUAUGCAAACAUCCAAGUGCGAGCACAUCACAAGCACAAAUUCUCAUUUUUCAUUCAGAAGGAAAGUGAAAAAGAGGGGGGGAAAAUGGAAGGUAUCUACAAUAAAAAACCCUCAUCUAAGUCACACAUCAAUGAAGAAUGCAAUAGAAGAAAUCUUUCCACUAAAUACAGAAAGAUGCACCAAGAACUACCCUUCUGAAAGCAAGGCAGCAAUUACGCAAGUUCGGAUUAGCUAAAACUAAAUCCGACAGUGGCCAUAUAGCAUUUGAUAAUUACAAGACUACUCGUUCACUAGAAUAGAACCAGCAUCAAAAGAAACUCAAAUAUCCAAAUCGUAAGAAAAUUAAGGAUAUAUUGAGAAAAGGAAGACACAGGGGAUAAAAGCCAUUUAGGAACCGUACCAUCAACUAUCGAUCCCUGAGAAAAAAGGAAAUGAGCUAGGAAACUAGAUAAAGUAAAACCUAAACAGUAUGUCCUAAAAUCAAGAAGCCAGACUGCCUGUAAUGAGCAAGCGAAGUUUUCCAAAUUUGUGACCAUCAUCCCAGUAAAUAAUGAAAUGCUUUAGAACGCAUGAUAAAGUUGAUGCUGGCACUCAAAGCUUUAAACAAGCAAGAUUUGACUUCCCAAACUAAGGUAGUCAGUCUCUCCCAUCAAAUAGAGAAGGAUCCAGUACAAGCUGAUGAUCAAAACUUAGAUUUGCCUAUAUCCACUUGAAACUGCAUCAGCCUUCAAAUUCUUCAAAAGUUAUUACCAUAGGAAGACAACUCACAAAUGUCCUAAAUCUUUAAAAUCUAAUAUUAGACCAUUGGAGAUGUGCCGCAGAUUUCAAUAUUAAAGCGAAAGUAGAAUAAAAUGGAACGCUAAAGAGAAUCUUAAAAUAACAAAAUAAUCAUAAAUGACUAGCAAUUUGCAUCAUGUUUGUUGAUGAAUUAAGGAAGUCAAGCAUGGUGUACAAGUUUAUUCUUGUGAAUAAAAUGUAUGCAUAAAUAUCGUUAUAUGCUAGAGAUCAUAAUUAUGCAAGAGAGCCAUACCUCAACCUCAACCGCACUGAACCCAAAUCCAGAGUCUCCUUCAACAGCAACCACAAGCCGUUCAGGGCAAGCUAUUGCAGCAGCAAUGCAAUACCCUAAACCAACCCCCAUGGUCCCCCAAGUCCCUGCAUCCAGCCUACAACGAGGCUCAGUUUGAACCAAUACUGCCCUACCCACAUCCAUAGUAUUUGCCCCUUCAGAUACCAAUAUAGGAGCGGGGCUCCCGACUCCUAAGAUCGCAUCUCUUAUAAUCCUCAUUGGCGUCAUGAAAUUAAACGGCACAACAUCCUUCACCAACUGAACCUCCAUUUUCAACACAUUGUCAUUCGUUUUCUUCCAAAUAGCCUCAACCCAAGGAUGAUUUUUCCCCAAACAAAAAGGUUCAUCUUUAAUCUCCUUAUUAAUCAUUUCCAACACUUUUUUAGCAUCUCCAACCAAACCCAAGUGUGGUUUCCUUAACUCAAUCUCUUCCUUGCAAACAUCAACCAAAACAAACUUCACAUCCUUCGACCACUUCGGUGGCUCACCAAAAUGCAACAACCAAUUAAGCCUCGCACCAACAACAAGCGCAACAUCACAUUGACCUAUGGCUAAUGACCUCGCAGCGGUAGCAGCAAGCGGAUGGGUAUCAGGCAACAGACCUUUACCCAUUGGAGUAGGCAAAAAUGGAAUCCCAGUGCUUUCAACUAAUUUCUUCAAUUCACCCUCAGCUCGCGCAUAAGCUGCGCCUUUCCCAAACACAAUCAACGGCUUCUUUGCUUCUUUAAGCAAAGACACCGCUUUAUCGAUAUCAGAAUUCACAAUCCCCCCUUGCGUCACCGUUUCUUUGGCACUCUCCGCUUCCUUCAGAAGCUUCUCCGCUUCAGAUACCGAUAUCGUUUGAUGUAAAACAUCAGUGGGUAGAUCCAAAUAACACCCGCCGGGCCGCCCCGAAACAGCUCGUUCAAGAACCUGAGCGACACACUUGGGAACUUCCGUAAUGUCCUUCGCUUUUACAGCAAAUUUCGAAAAAGGCUUGACGGCUUCCACUUGGUCGAGUUCUUGAAAAUCGCCGCGGCCAAAAUCUUUCUGAUCGCAGGAGCCGGAUAUCAUGACGAUUGGCCACGUGUUAAUCAUCCCAUUCGAGAGACCAGCCAGACCGUGCACGUAACCCGGACCGGAAACAGUUAACAGAAUGCCGGAUUUUCCAGUCAGGUAUCCGUAGGCGGAGGCGGCGUAGCCAGCGGACUGCUCAUUGUGGAAGGCGAUGAACCGGACGCCGAGCUGGACGGCCCGGUUCGCUAAGGAAGUAACGGGAAUGCCCACCACGCCGAACAUGUGGGUGGCACCGAAUAGUGACAAGGAUUUGGCCGCCAGGGUGUUGCCGUCGAUCUGGGCAUUUUGGGAAUUUUGCAACUCCGAACCCGCCAUUGCUUGCUAGAUGUGUGUGUUUGUGCUAAUGCCCGAGUGAGAAGUGGACGGGGCAAGGGUAAACAAUUUUUUUUUUUUUUUUUUACCACGAGUUAUUUUGGGGUGGAUUAACAGUGGGAGAUACUUCAAGUUCCUAUCAUAAUUUAGAGAGAGACACUUUUAAGUUCGUACCAUAAUUUAAAUUAAAAGUUUAAGUUCUCUUAAUAAAAAUAACUUUUCUAUAACUUAAAUUAAGGAAUAAAUUCAGUCAAACCACUUAAGAAAAAUUCAUUGUCAAUGGAACAACACUUUAUUGGUAACAAAUUCAGCUUUAGGUUGUUGAUAUAUACAUAGGUAAUGGACGAAAUGUCUAUCAUGCCCUUUCCGGCGAUGGUAGCUGGGACAGGUGCCAAUUUUUUUGCAAAUGCGACCAAAAUGGAUAGCUUCACCCAUAAAACGACAUAACUGGUAGUAGGUAUAGCGACAAUGCUUUCCCGAUUAUCAUUAUAUUUUUCUCUGUAGUUAUAAAUAAAGGUGACAAUUUGUUUCCAAAAGUAUCGUUAUUAAUCCUCAUCCGUUGAAUUAUAACACGUAAUUAUUACUUAGGGAUGAUAUUGCUUAAUCGGAAAGAAGGAUGUAAUAACUUUAAAAAAAAAAAUACAUAUGACAUAUAAGAGCAUCAUUAGAAAAUUCUUUUAAUUUAAUUUUUUAAAUACUUAUUUAUUUAUAUAUGUUAUAAAUAGAAGAGAGAAAAUAUCAUUUCUCAUAAGACUUUUCAAAUAAAAAUAAAUUUAUACUAUUUUACUCAAAUUUUUUCUUUCAUUAAAAUAAUAACAAUUAUAACUAUUCCAUCUCUUUAAAAGUAAUGAAAUAAAAAAUAAUAUAGUACGAAAUUAAGUGUUCUAAAAGACUCUCUAAAUAAAUUUUUUUAAAUUUCAAUAUGGACAAUUUUAUUUAAAAAUUAUUUAAAAACUCUUUUUAUUAACAUAACUCUUUAAAUAAAUAGUAAAUUUUCAUUAAAUUUUUUUUUUAAAAAUGUCUAUAACGAGAAAAAAAAUAUUAAUAGCAAGGGUUUGGCUAUGUUGGAGUUCACCUACGGUGGAGAACGAAUCUCAGCCACAUACACAAAAUGAUAAAGAAUAAAUAAUGAGUUAUAAUGAGUUUUUUAAUAUUUAUUACUUUGCGUGUGUGGUUGAGAUUCGUGUUCCACAGUAAGUGAACUCUAACAUAAUCAUAGCCUAACAACAAUUACCAAAUCAAAUCUUUGAGCACAUGAUUUUAUAUGGGCUUCUACAAAUUGUGGACAUCCAUAAAUAAAUUAGAGUUCAUAACCGAUUCUUGCUCUGACAUAUUCUGUUUAAUUUUUAAUUUAGAAUUUCUCAGUUACAAUUUACAACUCUUAUAUUCCUAUACAUGAAUUGCAAUGCCUUGGAUGCUUGUGUUGAAAUAUGAUGCAACCGAAGCAUGUGUGACGUUGUAUGACAUGUCAUGUAUAACGAAAAAAAAUGUACGACUUGUCAUCCUUAAACUAAAAGACACGUAUGACAAAAAAAAAAUGGUUAUCUCCAAUUUAUAUUUCCGAUUACAAUAGUCAUUGAUUCAGUGCUCAGCAAAGUUAAAUCCUAGUUCUAAUAAUAUACUCAGGGUUUUAUUUAUUUAUUUUGUAUUUUUAGAAAAAAAUAUUUGACUAACAAUCAUCAAGAUUGACUAACAUAUAUUACUUGACAACAAAUAAAGAAACUACUGCUCAAGAGACACUUUCAACAACGCAUAGACGUGAGGUAAAUAACAAGAGUGAAUAGACACUUAGGUAGUGUUUACUUGUUGUAGUAGGAGUAAGGAGUCUGGAUUCCUCCUACUCCAGUGUUUACUUACUAAUUUUAAAGGAGGAGUGAGAAUCCUACUCCUUGGGACCCACUUUUUUUUGGAGUGGGGAGUGGGAAUCCACUCCCCUCUCUUCCAUUUUUAUCCUAAUAUUUAAUUAAAUAAAAUAAAUAAUAUUUAAUUAAAUAAAAUAUUAUUAUUAUUUUAUUUUAUAAAUUAUACUUAUUAAAAAUAAUAAUUUAUAUUGAUUCUAAGUUAAAAUUACUUAAAAAUAAUAUUAUUAUACUCACAGAGAAUUAAUAAUAUUACUAUAUACUCUUUUUAUUUGAAAAUAUAAUAUUAUUAUAUUUAUUUAAAAAUAAUAGUAUUAUAUUUAUUUAAUAUUAGUAAUUAAUAAUAAUCAAUAUUUUAUUCUAAGAAAAUAUUAAUUUUGUAUUAUAUUAUUAAUAAUAAUGUUUCAUUUGUGUUGCUCUUAAUAAUAAUUUUUUAUUUACAUAAUUAAAAUUAAAUUUAAUAAAAAAAUAUUUACAUAAUUAAGAAUAUUAUUAAUUAUUAUUAAUUUAAAAAUAUAAUAAAAUAAAUAUUUUAUUUUUCAAAUCUAUUUUUUUAUUAAUUUUGUAAUUAAAAACUAUAAUUCUUUAAAUAAGGAUAAAACUGUAAUUUAAAAUCAUUUACUCUCAAUUCUAUGCUCUCAUUCCAGUGUAAGUAAACAACUUAUUCCCACUCCCACUCCAUACUCUACACUCCUAAUCCCAAAAUUCUCACUGCUCAUGAUUCCCACUCCAAUCUAAAAUGUAAACGCACCAUAAUUAAUUGAUUGAUAAUCGAAGUUCGAAGCCUCAGUGUGCUAACAAGCAGUAAAGUCAACAACACUAAGCUAUAAAUGGCAAACGUUAAUGCUCAUGAUGACAUCCAAAUCAAGUUCAGAAUCGUUGAACAUUUGAAAACAAUCACAACAGGAAGCUAUAAAUGGCAAAAGUAUGGAGGUGCCACUAUUGCCUGAGAGGGAAGAAGAGAGGAAAUGGGUGGUGGUGGUGCUACCACGGCUAUCCUUUUUGGAAGAGCUGAAGACGUUGAGCUUCUUAUCAGCGCCGCCGGCAGGGGUGGCCUGUUUUCGGUUCUUUUUGCUGGCUACAGCAACGAUGAUGGUGGGACACCUUGGAAAACUUUCACUUGAUAGUAUUGCCAUUGCUAACUCCUUAAUUAAUGUCAUCGGCUCCAUUCCACUUGUAAUAUUUUCUUCAUUCCCUUUUCUUUUUACCAUUAGAAAACUGCUUUACUUCUUCUUCUUCUUUGUUUCACAUCAAAGCAUGCUUCGUUUAUUUAAUCUAAUGACACUGCUUUGUAUGCCUUUUGUUUUGUAGCAAGUUAACAAUUUGCUUGUGCUCGCUAGAAAAUUGUUUAAAUGACUCAAUAUAAUCCACACAGCAAUAAUAUAACAAUAGCUAUUUUUAAAUCCAGAUCAACGACAAGCAACCACAACUAUAUGGUUAAACAAGUUAAAUCAAGCUCGUUUAGCUAUAAUAAGCAAUCAACUUUAGAACUUUAGCUUGACUUUCAUAGGUGAGAAUACCAAGCAGGUCUAUUUUGACUAGGCUAAGAUCAACAAAUUAAUAAACUUUGAUUAAUUAUUGGCGAAGAAUUAAUCAAUAUUACUUGGAAGAUAUUAAGAAACUUUGUUCACCUUUUCUGUCACUGGUCCAAAUAAUUUAUGAAGUACUUUUUUGAGCCUUUUUUUUUUGGAAAGGUAGUACUUUUUGAGCUUGAACAAGCAUUAUUAUAACUGAUCUUAGUUUACUCCAUAUUUUCCAUGCUACCGCUGUUUACAUAAAACGGAUUUUGGGAGAAUAGCAUAUAUUUCAUCAAUAAUCAAUUGAGACAUAUAAGAUUAGCCAACAAAAUGAUAUCUAAUGUGGACAAUGCCAUUAAAUUUUGAGCAGUUUGGUUUUGCCUCUGCAUUAGAGACUCUAUGUGGACAAGCUUAUGGAGCAGAGCAAUAUCAAAAGAUUGGAACCUAUACUUACCCUGCUAUGUUCUUUUGCAUUGCAAUUUGUAUCCCCAUCUCUGUUCUUUGGAUAUUCAUGGACAAAGUACUAAACUGCUAGGCCAAGACCCUGAUUUUUUUGUCGAAGCCUGCAAUUACGCAAUUUGGCUCAUACUGACAUUAUUUGGCUAUGCUAUUCUUCGAUCACUAUCUCACAAUCUCCAGGCUCAGAGCUUGAUUCUGGCAUUGUUCUUAAGCUCAUGUGCAACUCUUUGUUUGCAAAUUCUUCUUUGUUGGGGUCUAGUAUCUAAAACAGACUUUGGAAAUACAGGAGCAGAAUUAACCAUAGGUAUUUCUUAUUGGUUCAAUGUGAUCAUCCUUGCACUUUACAUGGGAUAGAACUCACACGGUGAUCACCAAGGAAAUUUUCCCUAGCACGAAGGAGUUCUCCUUCUUUGCACACCUUUCAGUUGUAAUGUUUUGGUAAUUUGCCUAUCGUACUUUGCAAUGUUUUUGUUAGUUUUCUGUUCUUAUAAAUUGACUUACAGUGUGCCUUUUGUUUCCAAUAACUAAAGUCUCGAAUGGUGGUCAUAUGAGAUUCUGGUACUGCUGUCUUGAAUAUUACCAAAUCCAAAACUUGAAACAUCAGUUCUUACAAUAUGGUACGUAUCUACACUUACGGUUUUGACUUUUGAGUAAACGGGGAAAAUUCUCAGUAGGGUUGAAUUGAUUUCCUUUGCUCUUCAUAUGCAGCGUUACAAUCCAGUCAACACACCAUUUUAUGCCAUUUGGUAUUAGUGCUGCCGCAAUGUUUGAUCUAUAUGUUGUUUCAAAAGCAUGCACUUACGAGUAAAUGAAAUAAUUCAUUACCUACUAGUUAAAAAAACCCUGAUUAAUUCUGUGUACUGAGCUGUAUCGCAAUCCACCGUUGUGCAGCACUCGAGUGGCAAAUGAAUUAGGAGCUGGAAAUCCAGAACCAGCUCGAUUGUCUACAUGUGUCGUGAUAUUUCUUGCAGUUGCAGAGGCAGCCAUAGGAAGCGUAGCUCUAUUCUGCUGCCGCAAUGUUUUGGCAUAUUUGUUCAACACUGACAAGGACGUUGUGAAUUAUGUGUCUGAAUUAGUUCCUCUGCUUAGCACUGCCAUUUUCAUGGACAGCAUGCAAUCAGUACUUUCCGGUCAGAAUCCCAUCAUUCUGUCAGGACUUUUAUUUUCACUCUUUUCACUCAGCUAGUGCUUCAGAGCUUGAAAAAGAUUUGAUGAUUUAUUUCUCACCAUUCACUUUCCUUAUCACAAGUAGCUAGAGUAAUUGGGUGACAGCACAUAGGAGCUUACGUAAAUCUUGGUGCAUUUUAUCUUGUUGGAAUUCCGGUAGCAUCUGUGCUAUGUUUUGUUCUUCAUCUUAGAACAAAAGGCCUUUUGCUCGGAUUAAUCAUUAAUGCCAGGCUCAACUGUCGCAAUUGCGCUCGCCAUCGUUACUUCUUUAACAAUUUGGGAAAAACAGGUUUCUAUUUCAUUUCACACUUUUUUCAAAUUAUCUGCUUCUUCAGCAGUGAGUUAUCCUUUAAUUUUGCUGGCUGACAUUGAUCUUUCAUGUGGAUAUCUUUCCAGGCUACCUUGGCCAGAGAGAGAAUAAUUAAGGGAGCAUCUUCAACUGAUAAUAGAUCGGUUCGAUGCAAAACGUAAUUAAACAUUUUGUUUCCAUCGUAUCAAAAUUUCUUAGGAUGUGAGCUGCGAGUAUAUACUGUUACAAAACCAAGACCAAUUUUGGACAAUGCUAUUGUUGUGGCAAUUAAUUUAUCGAAAACUUGGUGUGCAGAAGCAAACCCAAGAAUUUUAAGAGCAAACAAUGUCCAAAUCACCAAUACAAUCAAUUUUGUGAAAUUGAUUCACAAGGCUACGUCCUCGGAUAAUUCCUAGAUUUACCAUGAAAUUUUACAUUUAAAAGAAGCAUGAUAAACAUCCUUUAUUUUAAAAUUAUGGAUUCUCUCAUGAUUUAAAUUCUCGUAGGAGCAAUUCAUAGUGGUGAUGGUUAUUAAUAUAUAAAAAUGUAAUGAUAGUUUAGUUUAAUCCCAACCAUUAUUUGUGACAAACACUUGGCGCAAGAUCUUAGACUCUUAAAUCGAAAUGAAUAAAUGUUUUAAACCUCAGUCGCAUUUAAACUUGUAUAAACUAAAAAUAGUCAAUUUCUAUUUUAAAUAAUCACAUUUAAGAUAGUUUAUGUGUUGAUCAAAUACUUGUUUAGACUUGUUUAGGCUUUCAAACUAUAUAUGUUGAUCAAAUACACUGAGUAUGAGAUGUGGCUUGCAAAACAGCUAAGGCAAAAUAGUCCCCAAAUAAUUAAACCAGAUUAAUUUCCACAACUGACAAAUAGAAGUGUCGUACAUUUUUCAAAGAGCGUGUCUUAAUCGUGCCGAUUAACAUCCAAAAUGUCUUUGUUAUUAGUCGAUUACUACUAGCUAUUAUUGUUAUUAUUAUAACAGUUACCACGAAAACAUCGUCGAGAUAUUUCAUCCAUCUCACCCCAUUUUCAUGCACAAAUAAAUUGAAAAAGAAAAAUCACUUAUGAAUGAUGAGAAUCGAGCCUCUUGCAACAUAUCUACAUGGUAUAUUUUAACCAGGCACUGAGUGUAGCUAGGGACAACAUGCGAUGGUCAGCCUCUUGCAACAUACCUAAACUUCAGUAUGAUUGGUAAUCAACAAAAGUACUAGUCAAUCUUGACUUCAAACUCAAGGGAAGCAUCUUUAUCCGAAUUAAAGAGAUCCAGUCUAUCAUUUAUUGUUGUAUUGUUAGCAUACAAUUAUUACCAGAGAAUACAAGCAUAUAGAGGUUCUGCCCGAGGCUGAGAACGAAGAAGAGAAGAAGAAAUGGGCGGUAACACGGCGAGCGUUUGUGCAAGAGCUGAAGAAGGUGAGCUUCUUGGCAGCGCCUCUUGCCGGGGUAACUGUUUUUCAGUUGCUUUUGCCGGCUGUAUCAACGAUGAUGGUGGGACACCUUGGAAAACUUUCGCUUGCUAGCAUUACCAUCGCCACCUCUCUCACCAAUGUCACUGGCUUCACUCCACUCGUAAUUUUUUUUUCUUAAUUUUUACCAUUAAAAUGCCCUUCUAUAUAGGGCGUUACUUUUGAUUCUAUUUUCUUUUCUUUACUUUAGCUUGACUUUCAUGGGUGAUCAGAGCAAUCAACUUGAUAAAAUAGUAAGGGUAUAACAAAGGUUUUUCAUCAAACAAACAGUUUUAUAUACGUAUUUAGCUUAAAAGCUAUAGCUGCUAGGAAGCAAUACCAAAAGGAGUCUGAAUAUAUAAUUCGCUAUACCAUUCCACUCACCAGAGCGAAUAAUAUUUUCAUGUUCUGCUUGAGUUUGAACAAGAAUUAUACUCUAACUAACCAUUUUGGUGUGCUACUGUACUUAACUAGAUUUGCGAUAAUUGCUUAUAUGUUUCUUCUUUAUUUCAAUCUGUUAAGAUUAGCCUGCAACAUGAUAUCUUAGUAUUUGUGUUUCUGAAUCAGUACAAACUUGUCAAAUACAUGUAUAAUGUUGACGUUAACUUUAAAUUUUGAACAGUUUGGUUUUGCCUGUGCAUUAGAGACUCUAUGUGGACAAGCUUAUGGCGCAGAACAAUAUCAAAAGAUUGGGACGUAUACUUACUCUGCUAUGUUCUUUUGCAUUGCAAUAUGUCUCCCAAUCUCUGUUCUUUGGAUAUUCAUGGACAAAAUAUUAAUGCUGCUACACCAAAACCCUCAGAUUUCUGUUGAAGCCCGCAAUUAUGCAAUCUGGCUUAUACCAGCAUUAUUCGGCUAUGCGAUUCUUCGAUCACUGUGUCACAAUCUCCAGGCUCAGAGCUUGAUUCUAACAUUGUUCUUAAGCUCAUGUACAACUCUAUGUUUGCAUAUUCUUCUUUGUUGGGUUCUAGUGUUUAAAGCCGACUUUGGAAGUACCGGAGCAGCAUUAUCCAUUAGUAUGUCUUAUUGGUUCAAUGUGAUCAUCCUUGCUCUUUACAUGAGACACUCUCCAUCGUGUACAAAAACUCGCACUUUGAUCUCCAAGGAAAUUUUGCCUUGCAUGAAGGAGUUUACCGCCUUCGCUCUCCCCUCGGUUUUCAUGUUUUGGUAUAAUUUGUCAAUCUCACUUUGCAAUGUUAUUGUUAGUUUCUGUUAUUAUUGGUUUACUUACAGCGUGCUGUUUCGUUCCCAAUAAUUAUAGUCUUGAAUGGUGGUUCUAUGAGAUUCUGAUAUUACUGUCGGGACUUUUACCAAACCCCAAACUUGAAACAUCAGUUAUAUCUAUAUGGUACACUUCUGACAUCACUUGUGGUUUGCUUUUGGUGAAUUUUUUGGGGAAACUCUCAAUAGGGUUGAAUUGAUUUUCUUUGAUCUCCAUAUGCAGCUUUACAAUCCAGGCAACACACUAUUUUAUACCAUUUGGAAUUGGUGCUGCCGCAAGGUUUGAUCUAUGUCCUAUUUCAAAAGAGAUGCAAGUGGCAUAUGCAUUAUUUCUGUGUACUGAGAUUUUCUGUAGCAUUCGAGUGUCAAAUCAAUUAGGAGCUGGAAAUCCACAGCCAGCUCGGUUGGCUACCCGUGUUGCGGUGGCUCUUGCUGCCGCAGAGGCAGCCAUAGUGAGCAUAGCUCUAUUCUGCAGCCGAUAUGUCUUGGCAUAUGCAUUCAACAGUGACCAGGACGUCGUGAAAUAUGUGUCUAGAUUAGCUCCUCUGCUUAGUAUUGCUAUAUUCAUGGACAACAUGCAAUCGGUACUUUCCGGUGAGAAUCCUAACAUUCUAUCAGGAUUUAUUUGCACUCAUCUAAUGCUUAAAUAGCAGUGAACAUGCAGCUAAUAAUUUAAUUUUCGCGAAUUUACCUUUCUCGUCAGGGGUAGCUAGAGGAAUUGGGUGGCAGCACAUAAGGGCUUAUAUAAAUCUUGGUGCAUUUUAUCUCGUUGGAAUCCCGGUAGCGUAUGUGCUAUGUUUUUCAGUUCAUCUCAGAACGAAAGGCCUUUUGCUUGGAUUAAUGUCAGGCUCAACCGUACAAGCAGUUGCGCUUGCCGUCGUUACUUCAUUAACCAAUUGGCAAAAACAGGUUUCUGUAAUUCAUUUUUACUUUUGUUCUACGUGUUUGUUUCUUUGACAAUAUAUUAAUCAUCCUCUAAUCUGUUGGCUGACACUGAAUUUUUCAUAAUUUCAUGUGGAUAUUUUUCCAGGCAACCAUGGUCAGGGAAAGAAUAUUGGAGGGAGCACCUUCUACUGAAAAUCCAUCGGUUUGAUCCACCUGGGCUAGUAAUUAAUUACCCUGUUUUGUUUUUCAUCGUAACAAAUUACAUUCUCGAGACGAGAGCUGUAAAAUUUAACAGUGCUGGCAUUCUGACAAGCACCGGGUGACAAUUAUCGAACAGUUGGUAAGCAGAAGCAAAUAAACCCAACAAUAAGCACUAAUUUUUUAUAACAGCUAGUCAGCUACCACAAACAAUUUUUUUUUUCUUUAUAAUGAACUUCAGAAGAGAGAGAGAGGGGGGUAAAAAGCUAUAAUAAUAAUUAAAAAAAAAAAACUUAGAAAUAACUCCUAAUAAUAAUAAUAAUCAGGUGGAUCAUAGUACGCCACUACGCCUUAUAAUUCGUAAUAAAAGUAUACUGCUGAAACAUAAAUUUAAAAAAAAAAAAAAAAACACUCGAUGAGAUAACAAUACAAAGAAACAGCUAAACCAAUUAUUUAGAAAACCAUAUUUGCAUACCACAAACUAAUUUAAAGAUAACGUACGAUAUAACAGCAGUAGCAGAAAUAAGGUUGAUACAAUAAUUAAUGAAGCUCUACGCUACACCAAUUAGUGGUACCAUACCAUGCAUGAUCCAUCACACAGAGGAAAAAGAAAAAAAAAAAAGAUUUUAUUUAGCUUACUAUAUAUAUACGUAUUGCCAGCAGCCUGCAUGCUAGUACGGGGGAGGGGGAGGAUGAGGAGGGCGGUUCCAAGGCGGCGUUGGCCUGUAGGGAUCAUAGUUAUAAGGAGGUGCGGGACCGGGGGGGCCCGGAGGCGCUGCAAAAGGAGGGGGUGGAGAGUGAUGGUGAUGGUACCGAGGAGGUGGUGGAGGAGGCGGAUGGAACAAUUCGGGGCGGGGUGGCGGUGGUGGUGGAGGUGAAGGACCGUAAACGUGAGGUGGCGGCGGUGGGUGAGGAGCAUAUGGAUCUGCUGCCGCUGGUGGUGGUGGUGGUGGUGGAGGACCUGGACCUGGACGGUGGUGUCUAUGAAAUGCCAUGUUUUUGAAAGUUAGGUGAUCAAUACAAAGUGCUGUGCUGUUGUUUUUGUUUUAAGGGAUUUGGAGUUGUUUGUAUGUAUUUCCUUUGACGGUUCGUCGGAUGACGUGCCCAUGUUUGUGCCUCGGCUUCCUCAGCCAAUCAGAUUUUUAUUUUUGUCAAAAUUCGUUUCGUCUCCUCAUAUACUCCGUUUCAAGAGUGCAUCAUAUUU